rnacentral:rRNA from 1 species
UGGGGAAUAUUGCACAAUGGGCGCAAGCCUGAUGCAGCCAUGCCGCGUGUGUGAAGAAGGCCUUCGGGUUGUAAAGCACUUUCAGCGGGGAGGAAGGCGUUAAGGUUAAUAACCUUGGCGAUUGACGUUACCCGCAGAAGAAGCACCGGCUAACUCCGUGCCAGCAGCCGCGGUAAUACGUAGGGCGCGAGCGUUGUCCGGAAUUAUUGGGCGUAAAGGGCUUGUAGGCGGCUUGUUGCGCCUGCUGUGAAAACGCGGGGCUUAACUUCGCGCGUGCAGUGGGUACGGGCAGGCUUGAGUGUGGUAGGGGUGACUGGAAUUCCAGGUGUAGCGGUGGAAUGCGCAGAUAUCUGGAGGAACACCGAUGGCGAAGGCAGGUCACUGAGCCAAUACUGACGCUGAGGAGCGAAAGCAUGGGUAGCGAACAGG